rnacentral:rRNA from 1 species
GAUCAUGGCUCAGGGUGAACGCUAGCUACAGGCUUAACACAUGCAAGUCGAGGGGCAGCAUGAACUUAGCUUGCUAAGUUUGAUGGCGACCGGCGCACGGGUGAGUAACACGUAUCCAACCUUCCGUUUACUCAGGGAUAGCCUUUCGAAAGAAAGAUUAAUACCUGAUAGUAUGGUGAGAUUGCAUGAUAACACCAUUAAAGAUUUAUUGGUAAACGAUGGGGAUGCGUUCCAUUAGG